CCUACGGGGAGGCAGCAGUGAGGAAUAUUGGUCAAUGGACGCAAGUCUGAACCAGCCAUGCCGCGUGCAGGAAGACGGCUCUAUGAGUUGUAAACUGCUUUUGUACGAGGGUAAACGCAGCUACGCGUAUCUGUCUGAAAGUAUCGUACGAAUAAGGAUCGGCUAACCCCGUGCCAGCAGCCGCGGUAAUACGGAGGAUUCAAGCGUUAUCCGAAUUUAUUGGGUUUAAGGGGUGCGUAGGCGGUCGGAUAAGUUAGAGGGGAAAUCCCGAGGCUCAACUUCGGAAUUGCCUCUGAUACUGUUCGGCUAGAGAGUAGUUGCGGUAGGCGGAAUGUAUGGUGUAGCGGUGAAAUGCUUAGAGAUCAGACAGAACACCGAUUGCGAAGGCAGCUUACCAAGCUACGUCUGACGUUGAGGCACGAAAGCGUGGGGAGCAAACAGGAUUAGAUACCCCUGUAGUC
rnacentral:rRNA from 1 species